UAGACAUAAGAAAAAGAGUCAAACUAAAUAUAAGGUAAAAUAAAACAAAAAUAAGACAAUCUUAAAAAAAAUGAAAAACAAUGAGGUGGUAAGUAAGAAUUACAAAAGAAAUAUACAGUUUAAAUGGAUGGGGAGGUAGGUGAGGUGAUUUAUUGGAACCUUUCCCUAAAAACAGAUGCCUACGUAUAUAAUAGAGUUGAUACGUGUGGUGAGGCUACACAGAAUAUUCAUAGACGCUCAAAGCAGCAACACUGUCCUUAAAGAUGUCAAAAUGCUAAGCAAGGAACAAACAGCUUGUCACAUCCAGCUCUGGUCACGUUUAACUGUUUCUGGGUUUGCUCCUGUUUUACUUUGUAAGUCGCCCUGUCAGGUGUCUUCACUUCCUCCGUGUAGUUGCUGCCGCAAUUGUUUGCCCCGUCCUGAUGUGUCUCACCUGUGCCUCAUUAUUUCCUCUACAUUUAGUCUCCGUGUUUCCUUCCUCCUUUGCUAGUUCCCCAUUGUACUCCACGUCAGUAUUCUUCUAGUCUUUUUCUUUUGUGCUUUGAAACUUUUUUUCCCCUCGUUAUUUUUGGACUUUGCCUACUUUCGGUGCUGACAGCUGAAGUCAGGAUAAAAAAUGCGUCUGACAUUGUAAAGAGAGUUAUGGUUCUCCGGGGGGAAGAUCAGAGGGACGCAUCACACGCAUGCAGACUGCAGGAGUCAGUACAAACAUGCUACUCAAAUGACAGCAAAGAGCCGGAUUAUCAGCCGCACACAGACGAGGAGACGGAAAACAGGAACGUGCCUAUAUAAUGGAGGGAAAGAACUGAUGUCUGUCCAAUUUGCAGCUAAACAGAGUCAGACUGCAAAUUGCUCAUUCUCCAUUUCACCCAAUUUCUUGAUUUGUCGCACACGCCUAAUUGCGAAUCAAAACAUGGCGCCGCUAAUCACACGUCUCUGCCUGCGUGAGGAGGAGUCACGUCUCUGCACAGAAGUUUGUUGACGGAUCGUAACAGCUGGCUUUUCAUACUUCAACCCCUCGGCCUGCGUGUAACGCAAACAAACCGCUCAUCGUUCUCCAGUGCAUCAGGACGCGCCGCGCUAAUGUUGUGACACGUCGUCUCCUGCGCUGUAAUUACGGCAAGACAACGUCAGCUAUCGGGAGUGCAGGUUCACCUCCGCUGCCUUAAUGCAUAAUUCACGCCACAUGGUUCUUCAUCGGCCGGCUUCCACUUCCUCGCACGCGCGACGUUAUCACUUUAAUAUGCCAAGGCCAUGCCAUCAAUAAUGCGAACAUAAUUGAUGCUCGCUGGAAGCGCUGCUGCGGGCAACAAGCAACUGCAACACUUUCGUCUUAUUUUCUCUCUGCGCGUUAGCGCGUCUGCCUGAAUUCAUUUGCUAUAUUUAGGCGGAGCAGCGCAUCGAUACAAACCCCGAAAGAAAUCAGAAAUAGGUUAUAUAUGCGCGCAGUUAUUCAAGGAUACUGUCUUCAUCUGUGUGGGGUUCAUUUCACCAAAGUUUUUUUAUAUCUGGUUCCUGAGUUGAAUACAGAAGUGGGCGUGGCCUGGCUUUAACGUUAUGGGACAACAAAGACUAAUUAAACCGUUAUAGUAUAGUUCAUAGAUCAGAAUCGGUUAAAUGUGAAUGAGCCGCACUUAAACAGUAUUUAAAAACAAAAUAAUGAUUUACUGUGAGAAACAAAAUCUGAUGAGACUUUGUUUAAAUAGGAUAAUGGCUCAUAUUUAUCAAAAAACAGUAAUUAAAUUUAAAAAAAAAAAAACCUGAUUAUGGAAAAAUUAGGUUAUUUGUUUAUUUCACUGGGUAGUCCUACAACCAACCAGUCAUUUUGUUACUGUGUUACUCUUCUCUCCAUCACCACAUGAACACCACCCCCGGACCCUAAUCGGUUCAGCCUAAACGGAGAGACUCACACUGCAUACACUUGACGUCGUUUUCCGCAUCUGUGACAAUCCCCAACUUUCACCCGUCGUUUGGCCCGUUAAAAUUUUUGUUAACGGGACAGCUUGACACCUUUUGAGCAUUUGCAGCGUGGCAGAAUUCUUAUUGUUUUUCCAGGUCAGCGGAGCCUCUCUGUGCUUGCAUCAUUGUUUUGAUGUCGUGGUCCUCGUCUGUGACUUUGGUCAGAAGCCUCUGAAGCACAGUCGGAGUAGGAAUCUCGUCUGAAGCCGAAGCAUCAAAGCGGCUCACUUUUUUUUCUUUUUUUUGCUUAAGUCUUCAAACUGUGACAGCGUCUCUUCUAGAAGUGUCCACUGGUGAGCGCUGUCAGGUGGCUCAAACUCAGACCAAAGUAGUCCUGCCCACUUCAGCUUGACCUUAGCAGUACGGUAUUAGCGUGUGGCACAUGUUGCUGUAGCAUGUUGGCAAGUAUUUCUGCCUUUUUGAAGGCUGUGUGAGCUGUACCUGGAUGUCGUCCUCAUGGGACUGGGCCACGGUAUUGUAUGUCCACCUGCAACUUCCUUAAGCCAAAAUAUCCUCGUUACAGACGAAUAUCUUUGAACUGCUCUGAAGAAGCCACACAGAUCAGUAGCUGCUUCUGGACAUUUUUGUGUUCCAGUUUGACUGAAUAAGUGUCUGAGUGAGUUUGAGGAAGAAAAAUAUUCCUGCACAAAUAUGGAUGCAUCCCUUUCCAAAGUUUAUGAUCUGCUCAUAUGGAACACUGUUACGCGCAAUUACAUCUCUUGCGCUCUUUAAUAUACUCCAGCUGGUAAUUUCUUGAAUACUGACUGAGGCGUGUGCAGCUAUCAUUUAUCCACCUCGAUAAACUUUUUUUUUAAACAAACAUUUCAUUUCUGUUCAUCAUUAAGUCUUCAAUUACCCUCUGUUAAUGAAGACUUGUAAUUAUCCAUUCAUUUAAUUAAAAAAAAAAGGCUUAAUUUCUCCUUUCUGUGACACGGCUUUGUCUGGGUUCAUCCUCUGUGAACUAAAUCUGUGUAUAAAGAUAGGCAGAAAUAGCAAAGGAGACUGAAGCCAACAUUAAUCACUGAAAUUAACAAUUUCAUGAUUGAUGCUAAUGAAAAAACUGCCUCAACUCUCCUCCCCUAUGAAUUCCAUUAGCCAAGUUUAACGCCCUUGUGGAUGCUGGAGACAUUUAUUUAUUUAUUUUUAUUUAAAUCUGUAAUGUCCAAAACGACUCAGAAGUUUACAGUUUGAAGUUUGAGUUGUGUGGGUUUAGGUUGUGUAUCUUGGUGUAAAGAGCAAACUGUCACAGAAACAAAGGAACUGUAUCUGCUUUCUGCACUGUAAAUUAAAUCCAUUGAUUAUAAAUAAA